CCUGCUUCUGCCUCCACAGUUCUUUGUCACAAAAGAUGUGUAUCAGCAGCAAGAACUCAGGGUGUGCCUCAUAUGCUCAGUUGAUUCUCCUGACCAUGACCAGUAGGACACAGGUUAUUUUCUUCGCAUAGUGGUUGCAUCCUCUUCCAGCCCUGCUCUCCGCAUAAGCACACUUGAGUCAAGGCCCAGGCUUGCCUACGAGAUGGCCCCUCUCUCCCUCCUUCCCUAAUGGGGCAGUAAUUCUGGUUGAGUGCUUGCAAGAGUCUGAGGACUUGAAUGAAAGCAGACUGGCUGAGCUUAGUCCUGAGGACAGAGACACAGCUGGCGGGGGAGAAGGGUUCACUGAGGUAAGGGGGUUCCUUUUCUCUCCUCCAUGAUUGUUCUUACAACAGAGGGUUAUUUAUCCUUGAAUGUAACAUUC
rnacentral:lncRNA from 1 species